rnacentral:rRNA from 1 species
GUGACGAGGAGCUUGCUCCUCUGAUCAGUGGCGAACGGGUGAGUAACACGUGAGUAACCUGCCCCAGACUCUGGAAUAACAGUUGGAAACAGCUGCUAAUACCGGAUACGAGACGGAGAGGCAUCUCUACCGUCUGGAAAGUUUUUCGGUCUGGGAUGGACUCGCGGCCUAUCAGCUUGUUGGUGAGGUAAUGGCUCACCAAGGCGACGACGGGUAGCCGGCCUGAGAGGGCGACCGGCCACACUGGGACUGAGACACGGCCCAGACUCCUACGGGAGGCAGCAGUGGGGAAUAUUGCACAAUGGGCGAAAGCCUGAUGCAGCAACGCCGCGUGAGGGAUGACGGCCUUCGGGUUGUAAACCUCUUUCAGUAGGGAAGAAGCGAAAGUGACGGUACCUACAGAAGAAGCACCGGCUAACUACGUGCCAGCAGCCGCGGUAAUACGUAGGGUGCGAGCGUUGUCCGGAAUUAUUGGGCGUAAAGAGCUUGUAGGCGGUUUGUCGCGUCUGCCGUGAAAAUCCGAGGCUCAACCUCGGACUUGCGGUGGGUACGGGCAGACUAGAGUGUGGUAGGGGAGACUGGAAUUCCUGGUGUAGCGGUGAAAUGCGCAGAUAUCAGAGGAACACCGAUGGCGAAAGGCAGGUCUCUGGGCCACUACUGACGCUGAGAAGCGAAAGCGUGGGGAGCGAACAGGAUUAGA